ACCCCGCCCCGUCCGGCGGCGCGCACAGGUGGCGGCGGCACCGGUAGCUGAGGUGGAGCCUUUGGAAAUGGAAACGCGAGGCCUCACCAAGCCGCUCCUCCCUUUAGACCUUUCGGAGCGCCUUAGGGAAGCGCUUGGCUUGGCCUUGGAGGAAGUGCACAGGUGUUUGUGAGGUUGCAGCACAGCGUGGAAGGAAUAGGGUGUGUGACUGCUUAGACUGGUGCUGCUGCCAAGAAGUUACUCCUAAGAAAUUCUCCACUGCGUGAGACUUGUCCAUGAGAUUUUUGAGGCGUCUGCCGUGGGGCCUCUCCACUGGUCAUACCUCAGCCUGCUUGCUUCUUCCAUGCACACAUAUAGCCCAAUACACAGCCCUGUUUCGCUUUAAUAUCUGCAAGUUUGUAGCCAGAAAGCCUCAAAUCCUUUCCUACUACUCCAUCAGGGCUUGUUUUUACCUGUUUGGAAAGCAGUGCAGAGUAAAUGUUUGCCCUCACAGCCCUAGCCCUCUGAUACUGGAUUACACAGGGUUUAUCUUACUUCCCUUGAUGUCCAUUCCUACCAAGACAUACUGACACUGGGAUUUUUGCUUGGGGAGAAAAGAGUCCUGGCCUAGAAUUGGCAGAGGUACCAGGGAAUGUGGCCGAAUCUCUUUGUUCAUUCAAGAAAGCUGGGGAGGGACCUUUUACAAGGGUAUAUAGUGAUAGGACAAGGGUUAAUGGCUUUAAACUGGAAGAGAGGAGAUUUAGGUUAGACAUUAGGAAGAAAUUCUGUGAGGAUGGUGAGAUACUUAAAUAGAUUGCCCAGGGAAGUUGGAGAUUCCCUAUCCCUGGAAGUGUUCAAGGCCAGGUUGGAUGGGGCUUUGAGCAACAUGGUCUAGUGGGAGGUUGGAACUAGAUGAUCUUUAAGGUCCCUUCCAAACCAAACCAUUCUAUGAUAUGAUAUGCAGAACAUGGACAAAUAAUAAACCUCUUCCUCCCCCCAAAAGCACAUACAGGACCCAGUAUCCCACACUUAUUUUUAACCCGUGGCAUCUGAGAGACUGGUUUCUCCUGGCCAUCUUGGAAUAUGCUGUUCUGGGAAACCAAGGGAGAGUCAAGUGCAGGCAAAGUCCUGAAACUAGGAGAAGGAAGCUACAUCCUCCCCCAGAUAUCAAAUGAAACCUUUCUAUUUACAAGGAAACUUUGCAUUUUCUUCAAUUUAAAUAUGUAUGUGUAUCAAAAACAUCUGGAUCUAAACAGUGUGGCUCCACCACAAAAUGACUACAGCCCGCUUGGCUCUUUCUGGUCUGCCUCCAGAUCAGCCUCUCUGGCCAUCUAGUCUGGUGUUGAGAAAGCUUGUUUGGGUGCUACAAGUUAGGACAACCCCUAGAGAAAAACCUUAAAUAAAGAAGAACAGGCCCAAACCUCUCCAGACAGCCCUAGGCCUCUUUUGCACUGCAGGUUGUUUCAGAGUCCAGACUUCUGGCCCAUGUUGGGAUUGAUCCUGUCUGUGAUUAAGAAGAAUUUUGUAUAGUCCAUAUGGAGAGGACCAAAUUGGAGUUUGCAGCUGGCAAACAGGGCCCUGCAGAUCUGCACCAGGGAUGGGGCAGAUAAUUGGAGUUGCCUAACACUGUGUUCUGGGAGCAGAAAUGUCACUGAACAGAAAAAGUUCAGAAAGUCCUUCUCACCCAGAAGUAUAGUGGAUUUGAAAUGCCACCUUCAAAAAAAGACAGUGAAGUGAUCAAGGAGACAGAGGACUUUCUAAAGAAAGAAAAUAUUGUCUUAUUAAUU